rnacentral:rRNA from 1 species
CACGUAGGCGCAAGCGUUGUCCGGAAUUAUUGGGCGUAAAGAGCUCGUAGGCGGUUCAGUAAGUCGGGUGUGAAAACUCUGGGCUCAACCCAGAGAUGCCACCCGAUACUGCUGUGACUUGAGUACGGUAGGGGAGCAGGGAAUUCCUGGUGUAGCGGUGAAAUGCGCAGAUAUCAGGAGGAACACCGGUGGCGAAGGCGCUGCUCUGGGCCGAAACUGACGCUGAGGAGCGAAAGCGUGGGUAGCAAACAGG